GUAGUCUGCAACCCGACUACAUGAAGCUGGAAUCGCUAGUAAUCGCAGAUCAGAAUGCUGCGGUGAAUACGUUCCCGGGUCUUGUACACACCGCCCGUCACACCAUGAGAGUUGGCAAUACCCAACGUACGUGAUCUAACCCGCAAGGGAGGAAGCGUCCUAAGGUAGGGUCAGCGAUUGGGGUGAAGUCGUAACAAGGUACC
rnacentral:rRNA from 1 species